rnacentral:rRNA from 1 species
UACGUAGGUGGCAAGCGUUAUCCGGAAUUAUUGGGCGUAAAGCGCGCGCAGGCGGUUUCUUAAGUCUGAUGUGAAAGCCCACGGCUCAACCGUGGAGGGUCAUUGGAAACUGGGAAACUUGAGUGCAGAAGAGGAAAGUGGAAUUCCACGUGUAGCGGUGAAAUACGUAGAGAUGUGGAGGAACACCAGUGGCGAAGGCGACUUUCUGGUCUGUAACUGACGCUGAGGCGCGAAAGCGUGGGGAGCAAACAGG